CUUUUAAAAGAACACUCUAAUGGUAGCAAUACAAAGUGUAGUCCUAAUGGCUGACUGGUAGAGCCAGUCUUGUCCCUGCAUCUUAACCUUGUAAUAUGUGUGUCUGUCUCUCUCUCACUCUCCAAUGGGAUAAGGUGGUCUGGGUGCCUCUAGUGCCUUUUUAAGCGAUUGUAUUAGAGAAACUGGGAAUCUGAUAAAUAAUACUGCAUCAGUGACAGGAGGGAG